rnacentral:lncRNA from 1 species
GCGGAAGUUUAAUAUGCAAAAGAAAGAGAAGAGUUCUCUGCUGCAGAGAGGGGUCUCAGAAAAAUGGGUUGCCGGAUCCGCGGUGAAAUGCAGGAGGUUUUAUAGAUGAGCUGGUGGGGAGGCGGCGUCUGAUCUACAUAGGCAAGAAAGGGCAAGAAAGACUGGUUAGACCAGUUGUGCUAUUUGCAUAGGGCACGAAUCUCUGGUAUCCCCCAUCCUAACCUUUUUUUAUUAUCCAGGCGCGUCUCUGCCUGAGGUGCACCAUGUUGCCCAUUUCUUUAUUACUGUACACGUGAUAACAAAAAAAGAGAAGAUGGAGCCUCCAUGUUGGACAUGGCCGCCCCCAGAUGGAGCCCCGGGGGGGCCGUGGCUGGCCUGGAGCUGGGGUGGCAGAGUCUCUCUCCUGGUUUUGCUCUCACAGAGCGUGACAUCUCCCUGGAGCAAGGUGGGACCACUGCUGAGCUCACAUCAGUCACUGUACUUCCUAGGAAGUUUUCUGAUACAACGUCAUUUCCUGUAAGUUGGGAUUUUUGCACACAGGACAAAACAAAGAUGACAGCUCAUCUCUCUUGACCCUGGUAUUGCACUUUUUACAAAUUGAAGGUUUGUGGCAACCCUGCAUUGAGCAAGUCUAUCUGUUCCAUUUUUCCAACAGCGUGUAUUCACUUCCUGUCUCUGUGUUACAUUUUGGUAAUUCUUGUAAUAUUUCAAAUUUUUCAUAAUGAUAUGUAUUAUGACGAUCUUUGAUGUUACUAUUGCAAUUUUUUUGGGGUGCCACAAACCACACCCAUAUAAUAUGGCAAACGAAAUCCAUCAAUAUUGUGUGUUCUGACUUCUCCACCAAAUGUGUUACCGAGUGGCCAUUCCCUCAUCUCUCUCCCUCUCCUCGGGCCUCCCUGUUCCCUGAGGCACAACAAUUUUGAAAUUAGGCCAAUAAAUACGCCUACAAUGGCCUCUAAGAGUUCAAAUGAAAGGAAAAGCACACAUCUCUCUCUUUAAAUCAAAAGCAAGAAACGAUUAAGCUUACUGAGGAAGGCAUGUCAAAAACCAACAUAGGCUAAAAGCCAGGCCUCUUGUGCUAAACAGCCAUGUUGUGAAAGCAAAAACAAUGUGAAAUGCAAAAGAAGAAAAUGUAAAAUGCUACUCCAGUCAACACACAAAUAAUAAGAAAGUGAAACAACCUUAUUGCUGAUAUAGCUAAGGUUUGAGUGGUGUAGAUAGAAGAUCAAACCAGCCAUGACAUUCCCUUAAGACAAAGCCUAAUCCAGAGGAAGCCCCUAACUCUCUUCAAUUCUAUGAAGGCUCAGAGAGGUGAGGAAGCUACAGAAGAAAAGUUAGAAGCCAGCAGAAGUUGCUUCAAGAGGUUUAAGGAAAGAGGGCAUCACCAUAGCAUGAAAGUGCAAGAUGAAUCCCAAGCGCUGAUGGAGAAGCUGCAGCAACUUAUCCACAAGAUCUAGCUAAGAUAAUUGAUGAAGGUGGGUACACUCAACAGUAGAUUUUAAAUGUAGACAAAACAGCCUUCUGUUGGAAGAAGAUGCCAUCUAGGUCUUUCAUAGCUAGAGAGAAGUCAAGGCCUGGCUUCAAAGCUUCGAAGAACAAGCCGACUCUCUUGUUAGGGGCUAAGGCAGCUGGUGACUUUAAGUUGAAGCUAGUGUUCAUUUACCUUUCUGAAAAUCCCAGGGCUCCUAAGAAUUAUGCUAAGUCUACUCUUCCCACACCCCCUAAAUGAAACAACAAAGCCUGGAUGACAGUAUAUCUCUUUUUCUUUCUUUCUUUCUUUUCUUUUUUUUUUUGAGACAGAGUCUUGCUCUGUUGCCCAGGCUGUAGUGCAGUAGUGCAAUUUCAGCUCACUGCAACCUCUGCCUCCUGAGUUCCAGCAAUUCUCCUGCCUCAGUCUCCCAAGUAGCUGGGAUUACAGGUGCCUGCCACCACGCCUGGCUAAUUUUUAUAUUUUUAGUAGAGAUAGGGCUUCACCAUGUUGGUCAGGCUGGUCUCAAACUCCUGAUCUCAAGUGAUCCGCCUUCCUCGGCCUCCCAAAGUGCUAGGAUUACAGGUGUGAGCCACCAUGCCCGGCCAACAGUAUAUAUCUUUAUAGCAUGGUUUACUGAAUAUUUUAACCCCAUUGUUGAGAUCUACUGCUCAGAAAUAAAAAUUCCUUUCAAAAUAUUACUGCUCAUUGACAGUGCACCUGCUCACCCAAGAGCUCCGAUGGAGACGUACAAGGAGAUUCAUGUUGUUCUCAUGCCUGCUGACACAACAUCCAUUCUUCAGCCCAUGGGUCAAGGAGUCAUUUUGACUUUCAAGUCUUAUUAUUUAAGAAAUACAUUUUGUAAGGUUAGAGCUGCAAUAAUGAUUCCCCUCACAGCUCUGAGCAAAUACACUGAAAACCUUCUGGAAAAGACUCACCAUCCUAUAUGCCAUUAAGGACACUGGUGAUUCAUGGAAGGAGGUCAAAAUAUCAACAUUAACAGAAGUUCAGAAGAAGUUGAUUCUCUGGAACCUCAAAGAUGAACCCCUCAAAGUUCAUCCUCAAAGUUGAACCCCUCAAAGUUAAUCCUCAUGGAUAAAGUUGGACACCUCAAAAUUCAUCCUCAUGGAUGACUUUGAGGGGUUCAAGACUUCAGUGGAGGAAGGAACAUCAGAUGGGAUGGAAAUAGCACAAGAACUCGAAUUAGAAGUGGAGGCUGAAGAUGUGACUGAAUUGCUAAAAUCUCAUGAACAAACUUGAAUGGAUGAGGAGCUGCUUCUAUGGAUGAGCAAAGAAAGUGGUUUCUUGAGAUGGAAUCAACUCUUGCUGAAGAUGCUGUGAACAUUGUUGAAAUGACAACAAAUUAUUUCAAAUAUUACAUGAACUUACUUGAUAAAGCAGCGGCAGGGUUUGAGAGGAUUGACUCCAAUUUUGAAACAAGUUCUACUGUGGUGGGUAAAAUGCUAUCAAACAGUAUCCUGUGUUGCAGAAAAAUACUUCAUGAAAGACAGAGUCAAUCAAUGAGGCAAAUUUCAUUGUUGUCUUAUUUUAAGAAAUUGCCACAGUCAUUCCAACCUUCAGCAACCACCUCCCUAAUCAAUCAGUAGUUAUCAACAUUGAGGCAAGACCCUCCACCAGCAAAAAGAUUACAACUUGCUGAAGGCUCAGAUAAUCAUUAGCAUUACCAACCCAAAUGUCCAUCAAUGAUAGACUGGAUAAAGAAAAUGUGCCACAUAUAUGCCAUGGAAUACUAUGCAGCCAUAAAGAAGAAUGAGAUCAUGUCCUUUGCAGGGACAUGGAUGAAGCUGGAAACCAUCAUUCUCAGCAAACUAACACAGGAACAGAAAACCAAACACUGCAUGUUCUCACUCAUAAGUGGGAGUUUAACAAUAAGAACACAUGGACAUGGGGCGGGGAACAUCACACACUGGGGCCUGUAGAGGGGUGGAGGGCAAGGGGAGGGAGAGCAUUAGGACAAAUACCUAAUGCAUGAGGGGCUUAAAACCUAGAUGAUGGGUUGGUAGGUGCAGCAAACCACCACGGCACAUGUGUACCUAUGUAACAAAUCUGCACGUUCUGCACAUGUGUCCCAGAGCUUAAAGUAAAAAAAGAAAAGAAACCAGUAGUUGCCCCUACUGUCUGUUCUUCCUUUUUCCUUACUAGAAAAAUCUACACGUUUUUAUUGGGCACAAGGCCUACUCAGAAGAAAAUAUAUAUUUCUACACCAGCAUUGUAGCUAAGUGCAAUCGCAGUGGUGAAGUCCUAUGCAAUAUGUAAAUGUUGUGAGAAGAUAUUUAAAUGGAGUGGACAUGCCCAUUUCCUCUUCUCUCUUUCUCCUGGCUAUAAAGUAGAUGUGAUGGCUGGAGCUAGAGUGACCAUCUGGAACCACCUGGUGAACUUGAGCUUGAGACUCUAACACUGCAGAGUGUCAUACCAACUGUGAUGACCUACUCAGACUUCUAAGUAAGACAGCAAUAAACUUCAUUCUGAUUUAACCCACUGUUACUUUGAGCUUUUUCUAUUACAGUCAAGUCUAAUCCUAACCGAUAUAUGCUCCCUUCAACUUUUCCUCAGGCACUGGGAGAAAAGACAGAGCACAAAAGAUGCAACCUCAAACUGAAUUUCUAAGAGGAAGACGAGUCUCAGGGCAAUGGGAA